ensembl:lncRNA
CAACCUUGCAGGCAAGAAGAGCAUCGAUCCACUUGGAAGCAGUCCGGGCGAUUCCCGGCGAAAGCUGGCCAGGUGCUCGCGCGUUCCCAAGAGCCAGUGCAUGAGAAACGCGCGCCCUCCGAUGGACAGCCGAAGGGCGACAGGCUGGAGCAGCAGCCCGCGGCACGGAGGGAGGCUGCGAAAGGAGGGAACGGAGAAGUUUUCCCGUUGCAGCUUGCACCGCUUGGGAACAAGUCCUGCAGCCUCCUGAACUACACACCCGGGCCCACAAAGACGCUUCCCGCAGUUCCGCUUGGUCUUUCAGAGACGCGGGAAGGGGAGGCCCGGAUCCAGUGGCGCCCUUCCAAAAGACCGGAGGGGGGCACAGCCAGGGCAGGAUAGGAGCAGCCUGCACCCCACCCUCGGGUUGCGUAGGCUGAAGGAAGCCGCCUGAGCCUGAUAAGCGUUUUGCAAUCUGCCUGCUGAGAAAAACGGCGCGGGCGGAGGAUCUGUCCCCAGAUACGUCUGCACGCCUAGAUUUCGGCUUCCAGGGAGAAAGGGGGCGGAGAGGGCUAGGCGGCGCAGCGGGUGCUUUUACCAGCGCGAUCUUUUUCGCCUUUACUUGGAAGAGGGUCCUCCUCGGAUUAAGCGGGGUUUACAGCGAUGGCCUUUCUCCACAUCAUCGUCCUACUGCUGGUGGCUGGGCUGUGCAUGGGCCAGGACUUCCCUUUCAGGGACCCCACAUUGCCUUGGGAGGAGCGGCUGGACGACCUGGUUAACAGGCUGACAUUGGAUGAGAUGAUACUGCAGAUGGCAAGAGGAGGGGCAAAGGGCAACAACCCAGCGCCGCCCAUUAAACGACUGGGCAUUGGGCCCUACAGCUGGAACACGGAGUGCCUGCGUGGAGACGUUGGCGCCCCAGGGUGGGCAACUGCUUUCCCCCAGGCCCUGGGGUUGGCUGCCUCCUUCAGCCCUGAGCUCAUCUACCGCGUGGCCAAUGCCACGGCCACUGAGGUCCGUGCCAAACACAACUACUUCAUCUCCAUUGGUAACUAUGACGACCACACUGGCCUGAGCUGCUUCAGCCCCAUGUUAAACAUUAUGAGGCACCCACUGUGGGGCAGAAACCAGGAGACUUACGGAGAGGAUCCAUUCUUGACCAGGGAGCUGGGUGUGGCUUUUGUGACAGGGCUGCAAGGUGACCACCCCCGCUAUGUCAAGGCCAGCGCUGGCUGCAAGCACUUUUCUGUCCAUGGGGGCCCCGAGAACAUCCCUGAGCCCCGUUAUUCCUUUGAUGCCAAGGUGGAGGAGCGUGACUGGCGCAUGACCUUCCUGCCUCAGUUUGAGGCCUGCGUACGGGCUGGAACUUUCAGCUUCAUGUGCAGCUAUAACAGGAUUAAUGGAAUACCCGCCUGCGCUAACAAGAAGCUGCUAACAGACAUCCUGCGUGGAGAAUGGGGCUUCCAGGGCUAUGUGGUGAGCGAUGAGGGAGCUGUGGAACUGUUAUGGCUUGGUCACAACUAUACCCACAGCUUACUGGAGUCUGCCAUAGCUUCUGUGAAUGCCGGAUGCAACCUGGAAGUUUCAUACGGGAUGGUGAACAAUUCUUUCACAUUUAUAGGCCAGGCUGUUGCCAAAGGCAACAUCUCCUUGGAAACGAUCAGGGGCAGUGUCCGCCCACUUUUCCGCACCCGCUUGCGCCUGGGUGAGUUUGACCCGCCAACCAUGAACCCCUACAAUGCCCUGGGACUGGAGGACGUGCAGACGGAGGCCCACCGCCAGCUGGCUCUUGAAGCUGCCAUUCAGUCCUUAGUCCUGCUAAAAAACCAGCGCGGGAUGCUACCUCUUAAGGCCCCAGAUGUGUUGAGGAAGAACUUUGCAGUGGUUGGGCCCUUUGCCGACAACCCUGGGGUUCUCUUUGGGAACUACGCUCCAGUCCCAGAGCCUCAAUACAUCUAUACACCCAGGAGGGGCCUGGCAACAAUUGCUGCGAAUGUCACCUUUGCCGCCGGAUGUACCUUUCCCAAGUGCAGCACCUAUAUGCCAGCCCAAGUGAAGGCUGCGGUAGAAGCAGCAGACAUCGUGGUUGUGUGCCUGGGUACAGGAACGGAUCUGGAGGCAGAAACCAAAGACCGGAAGGACUUAGCCUUGCCUGGCCACCAGCUGAAACUCCUUCAGGAUGCUGUGGCCUGGGCUGCUGGACGUCCAGUGAUUCUGCUGCUGUUCAACGCAGGCCCGCUUGACGUGAGCUGGGCCAAGGCACAGGACAGUGUGGGAGCGAUCUUAGCCUGUUUCUACCCAGCUCAGGCCACCGGCCUGGCUCUUGCCAAGGUGCUGGUGGGAGCUAAAGGGGCAAAUCCUGCUGGCCGACUCCCUGCUACGUGGCCUGCAGGCAUGCACCAGGUUCCACCAAUGGAGAACUACACGAUGGUUGGACGGACAUACCGCUACUAUGGGGAUGAGGCUCCACUGUACCCCUUUGGCUAUGGGCUCUCGUUUACCACCUUCCAAUACAGCGACCUGGUGCUAGGUGCCAAUGUCGUGCCCAUUUGUGGUAACCUCAGCAUCUCCGCAGUAGUGAAGAACGUGGGCUCCAGGGAUGGCGAAGAGGUGGUGCAGCUCUACCUCCGCUGGGGAGGGGCAUCCGUGCCAGUGCCACGCUGGCAGCUGGUUGGCUUCCACCGUGUUCCAGUGCCUGUGGGACGUACCGUGAAAGUACCCUUCCAGUUAGACUUCAGCCAGAGAGCCAUCUGGGCUGGGGAGUGGCACCUGGAGCCUGGCACUUUCACCCUUUUUGUUGGGGGGCAGCAGCCCUUCCAAGAAACCCGGGCCCCUUCUAACAUCCUGCAAGCUGAUUUUACAGUCUCCGGGAAGGCCUGCCGCACCGUCCAAUGCUAG